rnacentral:rRNA from 1 species
UACGAAGGGUGCAAGCGUUAAUCGGAAUUACUGGGCGUAAAGGGUGCGUAGGUGGUUUCUUAAGUCAGAGGUGAAAGGCUACGGCUCAACCGUAGUAAGCCUUUGAAACUGAGAAACUUGAGUGCAGGAGAGGAGAGUAGAAUUCCUAGUGUAGCGGUGAAAUGCGUAGAUAUUAGGAGGAAUACCAGUUGCGAAGGCGGCUCUCUGGACUGUAACUGACACUGAGGCACGAAAGCGUGGGGAGCAAACAGGAUUAGAUACCCUGGUAGUCCCU